rnacentral:rRNA from 1 species
CCUACGGGAGGCAGCAGUGAGGAAUAUUGGUCAAUGGACGAGAGUCUGAACCAGCCAAGUAGCGUGAAGGAUGACUGCCCUAUGGGUUGUAAACUUCUUUUAUAUGGGAAUAAAACGUUCCACGUGUGGGAUUUUGUAUGUACCAUAUGAAUAAGGAUCGGCUAACUCCGUGCCAGCAGCCGCGGUAAUACGGAGGAUCCGAGCGUUAUCCGGAUUUAUUGGGUUUAAAGGGAGCGUAGGUGGAUUGUUAAGUCAGUUGUGAAAGUUUGCGGCUCAACCGUAAAAUUGCAGUUGAAACUGGCAGUCUUGAGUACAGUAGAGGUGGGCGGAAUUCGUGGUGUAGCGGUGAAAUGCUUAGAUAUCACGAAGAACUCCGAUUGCGAAGGCAGUUCACUGGACUGCAACUGACACUGAGGCUCGAAAGUGUGGGUAUCAAACAGGAUUAGAUACCCGUGCAGUC